CACGUAGGGGGCGAGCGUUGUCCGGAUUUAUUGGGCGUAAAGAGCUCGUAGGCGGCUCGGUAAGUCGGGUGUGAAAACUCUAGGCUCAACCUAGAGACGCCACCCGAUACUGCUGUGGCUAGAGUCCGGUAGGGGAGCAUGGAAUUCCUGGUGUAGCGGUGAAAUGCGCAGAUAUCAGGAGGAACACCGGUGGCGAAGGCGGGACUCUGGGCCGAUACUGACGCUGAGGAGCGAAAGCGUGGGGAGCAAACAGG
rnacentral:rRNA from 1 species